rnacentral:rRNA from 1 species
UAUUGCACAAUGGGGGAAACUCUGAUGCAGCGACGCCGCGUGAGUGAAGAAGUACUUCGGUAUGUAAAGCUCUAUCAGCAGGGAAGAAAAUGACGGUACCUGAUUAAGACGCACCGGCUAACUACGUGCCAGCAGCCGCGGUAAUACGCAGGGGGCAAGCGUUAUCCGGAUUUACUGGGUGUAAAGGGAGCGUAGACGGCAGCACAAGUCUGGAGUGAAAUGCCGGGGCUUAACCCCGGAACUGCUUUGGAAACUGUGCAGCUAGAGUGCAGGAGAGGUAAGUGGAAUUCCUAGUGUAGCGGUGAAAUGCGUAGAUAUUAGGAGGAACACCGGUGGCGAAGGCGGCUUACUGGACAGAAACUGACACUGAGGCUCGAAAGCGUGGGGAGCAAACAGG